GACGAACGCUGGCGGCGUGCCUAAUACAUGCAAGUCGAGCGGACUUUAUCCUUCGGGGUAAGGUUAGCGGCGGACGGGUGAGUAACACGUAGGCAACCUGCCUGUAAGACCGGGAUAACAUUCGGAAACGGAUGCUAACACCGGAUAUGCGACUUGGCUGCAGGGCUGGGUUGGGAAAGACGGCGCAAGCUGUCACUUACAGAUGGGCCUGCGGGGCAUUAGCUAGUGGGUGAGGUAACGGCUCACCAAGGCGACGAUGCAUAGCCGGACUGGGAGGGUGGUCGGCCACACUGGGACUGAGACACGGACCAGACUCCUACGGGAGGCAGCAGUAGGGAAUCUUCCGCAAUGGACGAAAGUCUGACGGAGCAACGCCGCGUGAGUGAUGAAGGUUUUCGGAUCGUAAAGCUCUGUUGCCAGGGAAGAACAGCCAGGAGAGUAACUGCUCUUGGAAUGACGGUACCUGAGAAGAAAGCCCCGGCUAACUACGUGCCAGCAGCCGCCGUAA
rnacentral:rRNA from 1 species